AAAUAUUUUGUAAAGAAAAGCUAUAUUUUUCACUUCAGUGUAUUAAAUAUCAACGGAGGUUAACAAUAUGAUGAAGUUUAACUACAUCUUUUUUAUUUUCACUUUUAUUUUGGUGAUUAAAUUUACUAAAUGCAAACUAAAAGGUGUCAAUCCCGAUUCGAAAAAUGCGGUUGAAUAUGGUUGCUAUCUAAAAAAAUGUUGGUCCAGUUGUAAUUUCCCAUCAAACUCUUGGUGUUGGUCAAAUGCACUAGUAGGACAAGGGGUACGUACUUGUAAAGUUGAUAAAGACUGUGACAAAUAUCGGUACAAAUGUCAAGGUUCCUGUCAUCUAUCCUCAAGUUAAUAAAACUUUUUUUUUUAUUGAUUAUUAUUAAUUUUUUAUUUUAAACCAUUUAUUGGUUAUUUAAAAGUUUGUAAAUUUAUUAUGGCGGUUGUUUUUAUUUUUUUAUUAUUUGUAAAUAUUUUAAAAAUAUAAAAUAUUCGCCUUCGAAAUUGGUAUGUAAAUGCAUGAUUUUGU
rnacentral:lncRNA from 1 species